AUUGAACGCUGGCGGCAUGCCUUACACAUGCAAGUCGAACGGCAGCACGGGAGCAAUCCUGGUGGCGAGUGGCGAACGGGUGAGUAAUAUAUCGGAACGUGCCCAGUAGUGGGGGAUAGCCCGGCGAAAGCCGGAUUAAUACCGCAUACGACCUGUGGGUGAAAGCGGGGGAUCGCAAGACCUCGCGCUAUUGGAGCGGCCGAUAUCAGAUUAGCUUGUUGGUGGGGUAAAAAGCCCACCAAGGCGACGAUCUGUAGCUGGUCUGAGAGGGCGACCAGCCACACUGGGACUGAGACACGGCCCAGACUCCUACGGGAGGCAGCAGUGGGGAAUUUUGGACAAUGGGCGCAAGCCUGAUCCAGCCAUGCCGCGUGUGGGAAGAA
rnacentral:rRNA from 1 species